rnacentral:rRNA from 1 species
UGACUUUCGGAGGAGGUAAUGACCAGUUCCAUUGAUGCCUUAUGGUAUUGUGGAUAGGGGUACGGUUUUCCACCGUACCGAAACCUAGCAGAGGGCCAGUCUGGUGCCAGCAGCUGCGGUAAUUCCAGCUCUGCGAGUUUGCUCCCAUAUUGUUGCAGUUAAAACGCCCGUAGUCUGAAUUGGCCAGCAAUGGUCGUAUGUAUUUAUACGUUCACUGUGAACAAAUCAGGACGCUUAGAGUAUGGCUACAUGAAUGACUCAGCGCAGUAUGAAGUCUUUGUUUUCUUCCGAAAACAAGCUCAACGAGAGCCAUCGGGGGUAGAUCUAUCUCAUGACGAGUGGUGGAAUACUUUGACUCAUGAGAGAGAAUCUGAGGCGAAGGCGUCUACCUAGAGGGUUUCUGUCGAUCAAGGGCGAGAGUAGGAGUAUCCAACAGGAUUAGAGACCCUGGUAGUUCCUACCUUAAACGAUGCCGACAGGAGUUUGUCACUUGUUAGUGGCAGAAUCUUUGGAGAAAUCAUAGUUCUUGGGCUCUGGGGGAACUACGACCGCAAGGCUGAAACUUGAAGGAAUUGACGGAAGGGCACACCAGGGGUGGAGCCUGUGGCUUAAUUUGAAUCAACACGGGGAAACUUACCAGGACCAGAUGUUUUUUAUGACUGACAGGCUUUGGGUCUUUCAGGAUAUUGCUUUUGGUGGUGCAUGGCCGUUGGUGGUGCGUGGGUUGACCUGUCUAGCGUUGAUUCAGCUAACGAGCGAGAUUAUCGCCAAUUAUAUACUUCGUCUAAGUCUUUAGAUAGAAGUUCUAAUUGGGACUCCCUGCGAUUUUAGCAGGUGGAAGAGGGUAGCAAUAACAGGUCCGUGAUGCCCUUUAGAUGCUCUGGGCUGCACGCGUGCUACAAUGUUAGGAUCAAUAGGACUGCAAAGCCGAGAGGCCGCGCUACUCUUAUAAUCCCUAACGUAGUUGGGAUUGACGUUUGUAAUCAGCGUCAUGAACCAGGAAUCCCUUGUAAAUGUGUGUCAACAACGCACGUUGAAUACGUCCCUGCCCUUUGUACACACCGCCCGUCGCUCCUACCGAUUGGAUGACUCGGUGAAAUCACCGGAUGCUUACGAGCAGAAAGUGAU